CGCCAUCGUAACAAAGAAGACCAAACAAACCGCUAGAGUAUCACAUAUUACACACACACGCAGCUGGAGAAAGGUGGUGGUGGUGGUGGUAAUGGAAGGGGUGGAAUGAAGCUUAACUCCAAACACAGCUACCCCGGCAAACACUAGAAGAGGGCAGAACAAAGGGAUAGAGAGGGGAUGGGAAUGAAGCUUACUCCUCUAUUUCAUCCCUUUACCGAGGUUAAGUUGGCUAUGGGUAAAAAGGGAAGGGAAACAAGCUUCAGCAGUCAAACACUAUGGCGGGAAAAGGGCAGAAUAGAGGUAGAAAGGGAAUGAAGCUUACUCCUCUAUUUCAUCCCUGUACCGAGGUUAAGUUGGCUAAGGGUAAAAGAGGGAGGGAAAAAAGCUUCAACAAACACAUUGGCGGGAAAAGAAUAGAACAAAGGGAUGGAAAAAGGGAAUGGGAAUGAAGCUAACUCCUCGCUAAAUCCUCCAUUGAAUCCCUGUACCGAGGUGAAGUUGGCUUAGGGGAAGAAAAUAACCCGUCACUAAACAGAUGACUCAUGUUGCAGGAAGAAGCGAGUAAGAUAAAGUGGAAUGAGUCGAGUAUAUAUAUCGAGUAGGCGCUAGAAAGGGAUUUAGAAGGAAGGAAUGAGGUAUAAAGCUUUCAUUCCACUAUUUAAAGCUUGCAGAAUGGACAAGAGAGGAUGGAGGACGGGACUAGAAGCUUGUGUUGUGUUGCGAGGCGUUAGUCAAGGUUUGGGAGGGAGUUAGAAGGAAAGCAACAUGUACAGAGCUCUUUCAUUUCACUAUCUGAGGCUUGUAACAGGGAAAGGAUGAUGUAGUGGGGUUAGCAGCUUGUGUGGUGUUGCGAGGCGUCAGUCAAGGUUUGGGAGGGAGUUAGAAGGAAAGCAACAUGUACAGAGCUCUUUCAUUUCACUAUCUGAGGCUUGUAACAGGGAAAGGGUGGAGAUGAUGUAGGGUUAGCAGCUUGUGCGGUGUUGCGAGGCGUCAGGCAAGGUUUCCACUGAGCGCCGCUUGGGGGCUGCAGCGUGACCUUGAGAAAUAGCGGCUACUCAGUUUUCAUAACGAGUCCCUCUUCCUUGCUCCCCUGCUGUAGUUCCGCUUCCUUCUACCGGUAUUACUGAGAGAGAGAGAGAGAGAGAGAGAGAGAGUAGGCGUGAUGGCGGCGCAUGUAAAUAAACACACGUGCACCCAUAACCUUUGGCUCCCUCCUUCCCUUCGUUCUCCCUAUGCAACAUUCAAGGGAAAUCUUCGCCUCACUCUUAUUUCUCUCCUUUUAUACUUGACUCCAUAUGAAAGUUUACGCGAAAUAUUUGUCUACCUCCAUUUCUGUCGCCCUACGAAACAUCAAUAAGGUUAUAAGGUUCUCUCUCUUCCUUGCAGUAUUCACAGGAAAUCUUGAACUGCCUUCCUCCCCUCUCCCAACGCGAAUUAAGUUAGAAAUUUGUGGAUGCCUUCCUUCUCUAUGCAAUAUCCACAUGAAAUCUUGCCUAUCUCCCUUGUUUGCCUAAUACCAUCAGUUUUUCUUUGCAAAUUGGCCUUGAUAAAUGGUUGUCAUCCCAAUUUAAAGUCUGGUGGUAGUAGGCAUCAACACGCCCCACUCCAAACAGGCCAAAUCACCACUCAUCACAACCCCUUCCUACUCCACGUAUGAACUAUAUAUCCAUUUACCGUAACCGUGUGCACGUUGCGUCAUAGCUUCACGUGUUAGAGAUCCACACAUACACACAUACAUUUUUCUCUCACUCGUGUAUUACUCAAUUUCCCAGCGGUAUCAUGGGUUAUUACUACGUACCAAAGAAUGCAUGAGUGACAACUUUCACCCUCGUUCUUGUGUGAAGGUAACUACCGCUGGUGAAAAUAAAACACAUCAUAAAAACUGGAAUAUGCAGGAGAACGUACAGAAAAAGACGAGGCGUGAAGGCGAAAGUAAAACCCGUGAAGGCGAAAGGAAAAUCGACGGAGAAAAGUUCGAAUUAGAGGGAGAAUGUGGGAAAGGAAAAGGAAGAGAAACAGAUAAAUAAGGAGAUUGUAAAAUAAAAGAAGCAAGGCGUAAGUAAAACCCGUGAAUGAGAACGAAAAACCGACGGAGAAAAGUUCGAAUUAGAAGGAGAAUGUGGGAAAGGAAGAGAAGAGAAACAGAUAAAUAAGGAGAUUGUAAAAUAAAAGAAGCAAGGCGUAAGUCAAACCCGUGAACGAGAACGAAAAACCGACGGAGAAAAGUUCAAAUAAGAGGGAGAAUGAGGGAAGGAAAAGGACGAGAGUAACAGAAACCGAUAAAAACUAGAAUAUACAGGAAAAUGCAGACAAAGAGAAGCGAAGUUGAAUGCAAAAGUAAAACCGUGAAGACGAAAGCAAAACCGACAGAGGAGGGUUAAGAUGAGGUGGAUGUGGGGAAGGAAAAUGAGAAUGAUGAGAGACGGUAAGAAUUUAGAUAUGCAAGGGAAAUGUAGACAAAGAGAAGCGACGUAAAGGCGAAAAUAAAACAGUGAAGGAGUUAAAAUGAGAUGGUCGAUGUGGGAGAGGGAAAUGAGAAUGGUGAGAGACGAUAAGAAUUGGGAUAUGCAAGGGAAUGUAGACGAAGAGAAGCGAUGUAAAAGCAACAGUUUAGAAGAAUGAGAAGAUGAUGUGGGAGAGGAAAAGGAGAAUGAUGAGAGGAAUGAGAAAAAAAGGGGAAUGGAGUGACAAUGGGUUCACCGCACAAUACUUGAAGGAGACAAUAGAUGGCUGACAAAGAGGCUUGGGAAAAACACUCUCUCUCUCUCUCUCUCUCUCUCUCUCUCUCUCUCUCUCUCUCUCUCUCUCUCUCUCUCUCAGGUGGUUUCACGUGCAUAAUACAUGGGUGAGUGCAUGCGCGUGUACAGGUGUGCAUGUCUACCUGAUGUAUUGAGUGUGGAAAAAAAAACCACACAUUAAUCAUAUGUAUUUCCGCGUCUCUCUCUCUCUCUCUCUCUCUCUCUCUCUCUCUCAACUUACGUCACGUUAUAAAAUUACUGAAACCUCGUCGUCCCUUUAAUUAACAAACUGCGCAGUAAGAACAAAAAAAAAAAAUCUUAAAUGUACAGUUUAAACAUGGGAACGUGCAUGAUGAGAGAGAGAGAGAGAGAGAGAGAGAGAGAGAGAGAGAGAGAGAGAGAGA